CAACAGCCACCGUUUAUUAGAUCAUAGUUAUCUACUUGGAUAACUGUGGCAAUUCUAGAGCUAAUACAUGCACGAAAGCUCGGACCUUAGGGAAAGAGCGCAUUUAUUAGACCAAAACCAAUCGAGCUUCGGCUUGUGUUUUGGUGACUCUGAAUAACUAAGUUGAUCGCACAGUCUUAGUACUGGCGACGUAUUUUUCAAAUGUCUGCCUUAUCAACUUUCGAUGGUAGGUUAUACGCCUACCAUGGUUAUAACGGGUAACGGAGAAUAAGGGUUCGACUCCGGAGAGGGAGCCUGAGAAAUGGCUACCACAUCCAAGGAAGGCAGCAGGCGCGCAAAUUACCCAAUCCCAGAAUGGGGAGGUAGUGACGAAAAAUAACGAGACAGUCCACUAUGUGGCCUGUCAUCGGAAUGGGUACGAUUUAAAAACUCUAACGAGGAUCUAUUAGAGGGCAAGUCUGGUGCCAGCAGCCGCGGUAAUUCCAGCUCUAAUAGCGUAUAUUAAAGUUGUUGUGGUUAAAACGCCCGUAGUUGGAUCUUCGGUCUUGAAGCUCGGUAGCUCGUAAGGGUUUAACUGAGUCUUCUGGCCUAAAUUUUAGUAUUCCGCUGAUGCUCUUUACUGAGUGUCUUUGGUUGCUAGAACGUUUACUUUGAAAAAAUUAGAGUGCUAAAAGCAGGCUUUAUGCUUGAAUAAAGUGCAUGGAAUAAUGGAAUAGGACUUUAGUUUUAUUUUGUUGGUUUUCGAAAUUAAAGUAAUGAUUAAGAGGAACAGACGGGGGCAUUCGUAUUGUUGCGUUAGAGGUGAAAUUCUUGGAUCGCAGCAAGACGAACAACUGCGAAAGCAUUUGCCAAGAAUGUUUUCAUUAA
rnacentral:rRNA from 1 species